ACCUCGUCUUGAUCACGAACCAGGAAUGCAGCCGCCGCACAGACAGGACAGGUUCUUUUAAAAGGGGGAAUCAACCGGCUGAUCGCUGGUAUGAGCUACAGCUGGGUCCACCAACCAACCAAUUCACCCCCUGACAAAGAAGCAUUAUAUAUUUAUUAUGCGGAUUUUUAUGUAGAAUAUAUUCCCUGUGGAAGUGAAGGAAUUUCUCUUGGAAGUCUCCAGCCUACUUUGGGGAAUAAAACAUUCUUCUGUAUCAACUUGUGGAAUGAUGCCCAAACGAUGCCAUAAACGCAUAGAGUCAUCUUUCCCGCUCAGAUCACUGAGCCAAGAUCUCUCUGUGAAAUGUAGAGAGCAGUUGUUAAUUCCAUUCUCCUAGAGAAGUUGCCCCAGUCCUACAAUUUGCAAACUUCCUGCAGCGCAUUUUAAUUAUAGGUGUACCUUAUGUGUGGCUCCGCAUGCAAGACCUAACUCAUGUUUCAGAGCAAAGGAAAAAUCCCCUGCAGCUUUUCCUGUGAAUGUUUGACCAGAGCAGUGAAUCCCUCUAAGCCGCGCAACCAUGUCAAAACACUGUGUGCCGUGGUGUUCUGCCGACAUUUUCUCUCGACAGUUCCACUUUUGCUUCCAUCUUCCCGUCUGUCCGUUUU
ensembl:lncRNA